rnacentral:lncRNA from 1 species
UGUUGCCAGAUUUACUGUUACGUUCCGUCACAAAUCAUCUGUCAUUCAAGUCAUUAUGUCAAGAAAAAAUGUGGUUUUGUUUUCAAAAUUGUUGAAGUUCUAUUUUCUAUUUGGUUUGGUUCUAUUUUUUAGUCAUGAAGUUAAGUAGUAUCGUGGGAUAUUUGAAGUUCUUGGGUACUCAAAAUUCAAGAAGUUUUAGAAGGAAAACAAGUUUUAAACUCUGGUCAUCUUAUUUUGGCUGGAAAAAUAGAGGAAAGUUCUGAGCAUACCAUCAAAAUAUAAUAUGGUUUAUUCCUUCAGUAAGGUCCAAUCCCCACGAAAUUAAAGGAACCGUAUCUUUCACAAAUGGCAUGAGCAUUAGCCAAAUGUUAUGUUCUUGUAAAGCAGAAAAUAGUGGAAAAUGUAAACAUGUCUCUACUCUUGUUAAAUGUAAGUAUAAGGGAAAAUGUGAAAUUAAUGGAACAUUCAGUACAUGAGUUGAAAAAAUGUUAACAGAUUGGCAAGUGAAGACCAUUUUUAAUUGAUCUAAACAUUUAUAGAAACAAAGUAUAUGGUUGAUAUAAAAUAUUACCUGCCUGAAGUAACUUGAUGUACAAAUCAAUAGUAACCAUAAUUUUUUUCCCAGGGCCAGUGAGAAACAAUGUGCAUUUCAUUUCUAAGUGUUCUAAGGAAAGCUUGCGUAAGAAUAAAUAGUUCUGUACAAUGAAGAUUAACCUAAUCUGUUUAACCAUCGAAAUUAUUGUAUUGUUAUAAAAAUAAUCUCCAUUUCAUAUUAUUUACAUUUACAAACAUUAGCCUAGAAUUUUAUUGUGUCUACAUUAGUGGCCAUAGUCCCAAACCUCCCCUGGUCAACGGAGGUACUGUCUUUCGCAGAUGUAGUAAUGCCGGGUUUGAUACAUUAUUGCUAAAUAAACUUUGUGAUUAGUAACUUUUCACAAAAUAAACAGAGUUUUAAUAGUUUUCACUGUACUUAAAUAUUUUUUACAUUCAGUGGUAAUAACAUUAUAUUUUGUUUUGGUAUUUAAAUUUACCUAAAUAUUUAUAGAAAUAUACUAUACUAAAUUCAAGAUGCAGUAGAAAUAAACAAACCAAGACACAUUAAAUGCUACUAUGAGCACUCCCGAAUCAUAAUUUACAAUGUAUAUACAUUGUAAAUCCCAAAUAAUGAUUUUCAAAGUUUAUACAUUGUAAGUUAUGAUUCGGGAGUGCUCCUAAUAGUAGCAUUUAACUUGUCUUGGUUUGUUUAUUUCUACUGCAUCUUAAUUUUAAAUUUAGUGUAGAUGUGGCCAUCAUAGGACUCUUACUUAUAGAUGCAAUAAAAUUAUUGGUUUAUUUUCAUUUUAAAUGUUAUACUUCCAGUAUUGUAUGUAGUACCUAGUAUUAAAACAUAUAUUUUUAAUUAAAAAUAAAAAUAUCUUAUUUCUAUAAUGAACAACAUUAAAUUUACUUCUUGCGGGAGUAGAAAAAAGUUAUAGUAAAUAUUUUUAACUCGUUUAGCUUUUGAUGAUAUUUGCCAUAUGUUUGUGUAAGACAUGUUUAAGGAGUAGUCUAAGGGCAUAUUAUUAUACUUUGUUAUACAAAAUAUACAUAAAAUUUUGAAACUUUCA